AGAAGACAAAAACUUGAGAGCCCCAUUUUCUUUCUCCACUGUUUCGGCCAGCCAAGGAGGAAACCAACCCCCAUUUUUAGCUUCCCAAAAAUUAUUUCCUUGGUGUUAACCCACUAAUCUAAGGACCCUAAGUAGAGUGGAAGCAUCGUUGGAGCGAUCAACCUAUUAAUUUUUCAUCUUUUGGAAAACCCUAGCCUAUUGGAAGUUGAAGAGAAAAAGAUCGUGGGCAGCCCGAAUCAUAGUUUGGACUUAGCUUGAGUUGGAUCAUAUUGGAGAGCGUUCGAGGUACAGACGCACAGUUCGGUGAUCCCCCAGUUUAGGAUAUCCCCUUCAGCUGUUUGGAGUGCUCUUCUCAUUUCAGAGCAUACACUUUUGGUAUAUACUUUUGUUCGUUAUGUAUGUAUAUAUAUUUGUUCCGGGUACGGCGGGGCCCUGUUCCGCCAUAUGAUUCGUUUGGUCUGUUUAGAGGUUUGUAGACUUAUUUGUGGGUGUGUGUGCCUACUUC